rnacentral:misc_RNA from 1 species
AAAAAUUUAAAUGUAUGUAUGUAAUAUAUUUUAAUAAUAUGUAUCCGCCAAUGCUUUUAAAAAUGUGUAAAUUAGUACAGCUGAAGAAAGAAAAGUCGAAAUCUAAACCAGAUCGUUACAGGACGAUGAUCAACAAAUUUUUCCCGCACCACGUUGAUGGAAAAAAUGUCAAACAAGUUGGCUAUUGUGCUUCACAACAUCACGAUGGCUAUCGAAUAAAGGCAAUAAAGCAGGAUCAGUGAUUCCUCUCUCUCUAAUGUUGAUUUUGCUCUACCCCACAUGGAGAUUCCCAUCUUUAUGAAGUCUUGGUCUUUGUUUUUAUUAUUUCUUUUACUAGGAAGCAGUCGUGAAAUUUCUUAAACAAAUCUCAAUCAAACUGACAAAAUUAUAGCAAUGCAGGCAUAUGAGACAAAGAAGCCACAAUUAUUUGAAGUGCAGCUAUGAUAUUUUUUCAACUUUCACAUUUAGGAGUGU